AGACAAUACUAGAUACCUGCUUUUUCAUGUAAUACAUCUUGGAUACCAUCUCACACACUGGGACAGACCUCAUUCUUUUUAACCACUGCAUAAUAUUCCAAGGAUGGAUGUCUAUAAUUUACUGAACCAAUAUUGAUAAACCCUGAGGGUCUGCCUAGUCUUUUUUUUCUGUUACACAUACCACAAGAUGUAGUGUUAAGGUUUUGACUCAGCUACCGAGUUAGAGUAGAGAAGAGUUCCAAAGGAAUUGAUAGACUACAUGUAAAAUUUAUCACAGAGGUACAUAAAGCUGGUGAAAGGACCGUUGACGUCUCUCAACUGCGCCAAGGAUUCAAGGGUGGAGAGACAGGAGACUGUGAAGGGCUUUGUGAGCGCUGCCACCAUCCCCUACAGUUAAGAAAGAGAAAUUCAACGGGGAGCUCAAAGUGCUCAGUACAUGUCCCUGCAGUCUGGGGCACUCAGGAAGCCCGGCGCCUGCCUCUGGCUGGUUAACUGCUUCCUGUGCAGCAGUUGGCAUGGGUGGUCUUAGGUCAGUGCCAGCCCUGAUCUGCCCUUGUCUUUCUUUGCUCUGUCAGCUGGAAGCUCAGAAGCCCCGGGCUUAUCUCCUCAUCCAUGGAACACGGCCUUUUCUCUCAUAUUCUCUCUUAGGAGCCCAGAACUGGCUGCCUCCAGAACACGGCACGUGCUCAGAGAUGACCGGCCUCUGGUAGCAUUUGGAGCAAAGCGAAACUCCCCAAGGAAGGUCACUGCCCGUAAAGAUAAUACCCAACCUGGCUUCAGUGUGCCCUGGAAGAAACGGGAUCCUGACCCAGGAGGGCCACAGAGUCUGUGUUUCUCACAAGUUCCCAGAGAUGCCAGCUGCUGAUGCAAGCAGAGCCAUGAAGUUGGAACAUCUGACUAGAGCUCACCUUGCGAAGAACUUCAUUGGGGGUCCUUGGCGUUGGAGAAGGGGUGCAUAAAGAGAACUGGUGAAUAGGACCCUGGCUUUGAGGAACUGAAGCAAAGGAAGAUCCCAAGAAUGCUCAUGGAGGAACUUCUGUACACGUGGGUUUAGGUGGCACAACAGUGGUGACCACGUGGGGAGCAGAGGUACCAUGGCCUGGUAGGAGGAAGGGGGGAGCUGGCUGUGCCCUCUGGGGAGUCUCUCAACCUGCCAAAGGUCUCAAUGUCCCCUGUAUAGUGAGACUAAUAAUACCUACCUGCUCGGCUGCUUUGAGGAUGAAAGGAGAUCGUGAAUGCGAAAGUCUAGAACAGCACCUGGCUCUAAAUGGCAAUGUUCACGAUCCUUAUUAGUGUUAGUAAGAUUGAACUAGUGAUCAGCGAUGAUGCCGUCUCACAUAUUCAACCUGCCAGCUGCUUUUUCCACUGUGAGGAAGGCCUGCGCUGCGUUCCUGCAGCCCCUCAAACCUUGGGGUUUCCUUUGGGAUCUACAUUAUCAAUUAAUGCUGGACAGAGCACAAGGUGCCACCUGCAGCUACCAAACAGAUGGACCAGAAUGAGGCCGAGAGACCUCCUUGAGGGUAAAACCUGGGAUCUCAGCCUCAGUAACAGCCCCAGCCAGCAAGCUAUAACAUGUUGGCAGAUCCAGAGGCCAGAGGGUGAGUGUGUAAAAACACAGGGCCAAACUGGAUUCCAAUCUUGUGCUAUCCUCAGUUGUAUGUCCGUGACAAGUUAUUUGAUCUCUCCGUGCCUCUGUUUCUUGAUCUGCCAAAUGGGGUUAAUAGCAAUAUGCCCCACGUAGGGUUGUGAGAAUCAGUGACCCAAUGCACAUGAGAUGCUUGCAACAGUGCCUGGCACAGAGUACACAUGGUGUAAAUGGUAGCUAUUAGUAUUUAGUAGAGGUCCUUGGGUGUGAAAGCCUGGGUUUUGUCACUUACUGAUAGUUUGUGAGGAGUGACUGGCGUGUGUAGGGUAGUAUAGGGAGGGGGUUGUGGCUGGAGGACUACGGACAGCCAGGUGAGUGGGCAAGAGAGAGGACAAGCCUGUGAAAGGUCUGUGGGUCUCCGGGGAAGGGGAGGAUAAGGAUGGUGGGCAAGAGAGAGAAGGACAAGCCUAACCAAAGUCAAUCAUUUCCUCUCACUCAUUUUCUACAAGCAUCCAUCGGGAGCUCAGGGCACUGCCCAGGGGGACAUCUCCUUAUUCUGCAGAUAGAGAAUGGCUGUGUCUACAUGACCCUUUGGGGAACCAUGUCUGCCAGGUGCAGCCUCUCCUUCCUAACCCCUCAGCCAGCCCCUCCACUUGGGCAUUAGUGCCUGAACCUUACCAUGGUGACGUCUGACUUUUCCUACCACGAUUUCCCUUCUUUCCAUUUCCUUCUUUACUUAAAAAAAUCUUGCAGUGGGGCUCCUGGGUGGCUCAGUCUGUUAGGCAUCCAACUCUUGAUUUUGGCUUAGGUCAUGAUCUCGGGGUUGUGAGAUCAAGCCUCCUGUUGGGCUCCUUGCUGGGCAUGGAACCUGCUUAAGAUUCUCUCUGUACCCCCCCCCCUCUGCUCUGCCCCACUCCAAUCCUGCUGUGUCGUAUCCAUUUUUGUAAGUCAUCUUAAGUUGUUCUUGGAAUAAAUAAACUAGUUUCUAGAAUUCUUA